rnacentral:tRNA from 1 species
UUAAUAUGGCAGAAAAGUGCAAUAGAUUUAAACCCUAUGUAUAAAGUUUUUAAAACUUUUAUUAAA